rnacentral:lncRNA from 1 species
GAGCAGAUGAGGCAGGCAAGAAAAGGAAGGGAGCAUCCUGACCAAGGGCCAGGCCUCCAGCCAGCUGGGAUUGGCCCAGGAAAUCUCCCCGACCCGACAGUGGAAAGAUGGGGUAGAAGAAAAGCAACUGUUCAUCACCCCCUCCAAAUGCAUAAAGAAAAGAAGGGUCUCUGCUAUCUGGAAUCAAACUCCAGCCUGAAUCUGGAAGCGGCACACUUUCUAAAUCUGGACUAUGAUGGUCUGCAGCCCAGUCACCAACCAAAUACAGAAAGGAAACUUUAUCACUUUAUUUUUCCCAAGGAAGGCUGUUCUUUAAAACAACAUCAGAUCAAUGUUACACUUGGUUUGGAGAACCGCACUGUCUGCUUUCCUUCCAUGACCAACUUUCAC